rnacentral:misc_RNA from 1 species
AACUUUUAGCAAUGGAUCUCUUGGCUCUCGCAUCGAUGAAUAACGCAGCGAAAUGCGAUACGUAAUGUGAAUUGCAGAAUUCAGUGAAUCAUCGAAUCUUUGAACGCACCUUGCGCCCCUUGGAAUUCCGAGGGGCACACCCGUUUGAGUGUCGUGAACAUCCUUCAACCUUUCUUGGUUUCUUAACCGGGGAAGGCUUGGACUUUGGGGGUCUUUCAUUGCUGGCCUCUUUGAAGCCAGCUCCUCCUAAAUGGAUUAGUGUGGUCUGCUUUGCCGAUCCUUGACGUGAUAAGAUGUUUCUACGUCUUGGGUUUCGCACUGUCGCUUUAGACCCCGCUUCUAACCGUCUUGCAUUCAAGACAGAGUUUUAAACCUUGACCUCAAAUCGGGUGAGACUACCCGCUGAACUUAAGCAUAUCAAUAAGCGGAGGCU